rnacentral:rRNA from 1 species
CCUACGGGGUGCAGCAGUGGGGAAUUUUCCGCAAUGGGCGAAAGCCUGACGGAGCAAUGCCGCGUGGAGGUAGAAGGCCCACGGGUCGUGAACUUCUUUUCCUGGAGAAGAAGCAAUGACGGUAUCUGGGGAACAAGCAUCGGCUAUCUCUGUGCCAGCAGCCGCGGUAAUACAGAGGAUGCAAGCGUUAUCCGGAAUGAUUGGGCGUAAAGCGUCUGUAGGUGGCUUUUUAAGUCCGCCGUCAAAUCCCAGGGCUCAACCCUGGACAGGCGGUGGAGACUACCAAGCUGGAGUACGGUAGGGGCAGAGGGAAUUUCCGGUGGAGCGGUGAAAUGCGUAGAGAUCGGAAAGAACGCCAACGGCGAAAGCACUCUGCUGGGCCGACACUGACACUGAGAGUCGAAAGCUAGGGGAGCGAAUGGGAUUAGAUACCCCUGUAGUC